rnacentral:rRNA from 1 species
UACGUAGGGAGCAAGCGUUGUUCGGAUUUACUGGGCGUAAAGGGCGCGUAGGCGGGAUGGCAAGUCGGUCGUGAAAUCCCUCGGCUCAACCGAGGAACGUCGAUCGAUACUGCUGUUCUUGAGGAUUGCAGAGGAGACUGGAAUUCCCGGUGUAGCGGUGAAAUGUGUAGAGAUCGGGAGGAACACCGGUGGCGAAGGCGGGUCUCUGGGCAAUUCCUGACGCUGAGGCGCGAAAGCGUGGGGAGCAAACGGG